GGUCAUCUCCAAAGUAUAGAGAAUCAAUCCAUCGCAUCGAUAAACAACAGAGAGAGAGAGAGAGAGAGAGAGAGAGAGAGUUCUCCGAAAUUUGAAAGCUCUUUUGAGUUGGUGUAUCUGCAAAACUCAGUGGGUUUGUGGGGAUGGUGUUGGUAUUGGCUCUGGGGGAUCUACACAUACCCCACAGGGCACCUGAUCUCCCUGCAAAGUUCAAGUCCAUGCUCGUUCCCGGCAAGAUCCAGCAUGUCAUUUGCACUGGCAAUCUUUCUAUCAAAGAAGUUCAUGACUAUUUGAAGACUCUUUGCCCUGACUUACAUAUUACUCGAGGCGAAUAUGAUGAAGAUACUCGAUAUCCUGAGACCAAAACGUUAACUAUUGGUCAAUUCAAGUUAGGACUAUGCCAUGGUCAUCAGGUUGUUCCAUGGGGGGAUUUAGACUCGCUAGCAAUGCUCCAGAGGCAGCUGGAUGUAGACAUACUCGUGACUGGUCAUACCCAUCAAUUCACAGCUUACAAGCAUGAGGGGGGUGUUGUUAUAAACCCAGGCUCGGCCACUGGUGCCUUCAGCAACAUUACCUAUGAUGCGAAUCCAAGCUUUGUCCUCAUGGACAUCGAUGGCCUACGUGUUGUGGUUUAUGUUUAUGAGCUUAUUGAUGGUGAGGUUAAAGUCGACAAGAUUGAUUUUAAGAAGACAACCGCCACAACUCAUUCUGCUCAUUGAACAUGCAGCCAGCAGCAGAGCUUCUUCUUUUUUUCCUGGCAUUGUAUUUGGAUUCCUAGAAAUGAAAUGAGUGAUUAUGGUAGCUUCUCGGUCUUCAAUUAGUUCAAUUAAACACCACGAGUUUAACUCUAAGCAUGCUCCCUUGUCAUCCAGUUGAUUUCCAUGGCCUCAUCUCCUCUCUUGUGCAAUUAACAAAUUCCAUUACUUCGGUCCCCUUUGUUGUCAGGGGAACUUGAGGUUGCUGUUCAUGGCUUUGCUCCUGGUAAUUCUGGCUUCUUAUCAAGGUAUGACCCUAAUGUAGGUGGCUAUCUUUUGUCUUCAUGUUAUCCAUGUAAUGUGCUUGGCUCUUCAGUAGGUUCCAGGCAUUAACGUCAGUAAAUAAUGACGUGUCUCAGCAGAGUGCAAUAUUUUGCUGCUUUACAUUUUUGUUCCUACUUUUUAAAAAAAAAAUUAUUUUGGUCCCUGUA